GAAUUCGCCCUUAGAGUUUGAUCCUGGCUCAGGACGAACGCUGGCGGCGCGCCUAACACAUGCAAGUCGAACGAGCGAGAGAGAGCUUGCUUUCUCAAGCGAGUGGCGAACGGGUGAGUAACGCGUGAGGAACCUGCCUCAAAGAGGGGGACAACAGUUGGAAACGACUGCUAAUACCGCAUAAGCCCACGACCCGGCAUCGGGUAGAGGGAAAAGGAGCAAUCCGCUUUGAGAUGGCCUCGCGUCCGAUUAGCUAGUUGGUGAGGUAAUGGCCCACCAAGGCGACGAUCGGUAGCCGGACUGAGAGGUUGAACGGCCACAUUAGGACUGAGACACGGCCCAGACUCCUACGGGAGGCAGCAGUGGGGAAUAUUGCACAAUGGGGGAAACCCUGAUGCAGCGACGCCGCGUGGAGGAAGAAGGUCUUCGGAUUGUAAACUCCUGUUGUUGAGGAAGAUAAUGACGGUACUCAACAAGGAAGUGACGGCUAACUACGUGCCAGCAGCCGCGGUAAAACGUAGGUCACAAGCGUUGUCCGGAAUUACUGGGUGUAAAGGGAGCGCAGGCGGGAAGACAAGUUGGAAGUGAAAUCCAUGGGCUCAACCCAUGAACUGCUUUCAAAACUGUUUUUCUUGAGUAGUGCAGAGGUAGGCGGAAUUCCCGGUGUAGCGGUGGAAUGCGUAGAUAUCGGGAGGAACACCAGUGGCGAAGGCGGCCUACUGGGCACCCACUGACGCUGAGGCUCGAAAGUGUGGGUAGCAAACAGGAUUAGAUACCCUGGUAGUCCACACUGUAAACGAUGAUU
rnacentral:rRNA from 1 species